rnacentral:tRNA from 1 species
AAUGAAAUGCCUGAAUAAAGGGUUAUUUUGAUAGAAUAAAUUAUGUAAAAUAUUUUACUUUCAUUA